CGGGGUGAGUAAUGUCUGGAAACUGCCUGAUGGAGGGGGAUAACUGCUGGAAACGGUAGCUAAUACCGCAUAACGUCGCAAGACCAAAGAGGGGGACCUUCGGGCCUCUUGCCAUCGGAUGUGCCCAGAUGGGAUUAGCUAGUAGGUGGGGUAACGGCUCACCUAGGCGACGAUCCCUAGCUGGUCUGAGAGGAUGACCAGCCACACUGGAACUGAGACACGGUCCAG
rnacentral:rRNA from 1 species